GGAGGCGCAAAGACUAUCAGUAAAUGAUAAGAGGAAUGUGAUUUCUGAUGACAAUUAUUAAAAGGAGUAUUUGCCGAAGUUUUAAAUGAUCACACAUUUAAAGUUGGUUAUAUAUUUAAGAGAUAUAUGACUGUCAUAUAGGAAACUAUAUGGAGGGCUAUCUU
rnacentral:ncRNA from 1 species